GUAACCCCAGUUACCAAAGUAAAUCAGCAGAAAGGGGGGGGGGCUAAAAUUAUUGGUGGAGACUGUCCCCUCAAUACCCAAAGUUGGUGGGGACAUGACCACACCCCACACCAGUCCUUCAGAAAGUUACGCCAUUGUCUGGAUGCCUUCAAAAAUACAUCAUCUCAAGAUGAGUAGCCACUUUGUCUUGCACCUCUGUAUUUUGGGUUCUAUUUACUGCACAUCCCAGGCUUGAGAGAUUAAAAUGCCAAGACAUAUCAAGGGAUUGUUGGGCUCCUGCCUCACCAUCCCUUGCAGAUUUGAUUAUUAUCGGUAUCCACCUAAAAGAGCCGAUCGAGUGGUUUGGUACCAGUAUGUAAGCAGGGGAUAUCCUUUGGUCUGUGACAAAUGGUACCCAAAUGAUAUCAUACCCUUAUAUAAAGGAAGAACCAGCGUAUUAGGAAAUUGGAAAUAUUGCACCCUUAAGAUUGAAACUGUGAAAUGGAAUGACCACAGACAGAAGCUUUAUCCUUGGGUGGAUCCAGAAAAUGUUGGCAGUAGCACGUAUGCAUUCUAUGAGACAACUGUGACGAUUGAAGUAGUUGACUCACCAAAGGCACCAGAGAUUACGAUCACCGGUGAAAGAAAAGCUGGAAAUACUGUAACAGUAAAAUGUUCUGCUGAACACACAUGCUCCACCAAUCGCCCAAAUCUUUACUUGAACAUCCCACUGAGAAAUUAAUAUUUAACUCACAAUGCGAUGUCUGA